ensembl:lncRNA
CCUAGCCUCUCAACCCGCAGGAACGCCCCACCCGCCCGGCCGGACGCGGCCCGAGAACCGUGUCCACGCCCAGCCGGGGCGCGCCCUCGCCGGGCAGUGAUCGAAACGAAUCCAGAGACAGGAAGUGAUUCCUUCUCCACCUGGACGUCCUAUGAGUUCAACUACGCACGUCCCAAAUCCCACUCCUCACCUCUCAGUACUUCCCGUGAACCCAAAAGCUCCUAGACACACACACACAGAACCUGCUCCUGUGCUCGACUUCUCUACCCCGGUCAAGGCCAUCUGCUGCUUUCAGCACCGGCAUUAACCUUGACUUGACUCUCCCUCCCCGUCGUGCACCCACAGUCCUUAUCCUCCCUACCUCUGAAAUCCAGCCUUCCCUCCCCUCUGCUUGAGCCCUGGUUAAGCCUCGGCCUCCCAACGGGCCUCGAUCUCACCUCUCCCCGCAAACCGGGAGCCUCGCUCAGCACCUGAGACGGCCAUCUGGUCCUGCCCCUGCCCUGCCUUGAUGACUCCCCCUCCUACAGUAUGGCGUUCAGACUCCUUAGCGAGAUGCUCUUUUCACAGGAUGCCCUGCUGCCUGGCUGCCGCCUCCCCACCUACAUUUCCAGCCCCAGUCAGCUGCCCCACUCCCACCCUGAGAUAGGGAUCUCUGCCCACCUGGCACUAAAGUGCGGUCGAGCUUUCCAGUUCACCCUGAGGCGCGCCCCUGGACCCUGAGGAAAGUCUAGACCGUGUCAUAGAGAUCAGGCCUGUCAUCGACCUGUACACACUUCCUAUUUGCAGUGUGUAAACUGCAAACAAGCUCCCUUUGGUGAUGCCCAACUUCCCUGGGGUGGUCACGAGCCCCUCUCAGCGCCUGCAGCACUGACUGACAGCCGCACAGCAGUGGUACUGCCCUGACAUGGUGGGCGCCCGCUUGCUUCCCCUCAGGACUCUGAGCUGACCACAGCAAUCAUGCCAUCACCCGAGUGCCCCUACCACUGCGCUGAUUACCUGUCACUGGCCAGACAGAUGACAACCUGGCCUCUGUCACACCUUAUCUGCUUUCCAAACUUCUAGUUACAGAGCAUUAGCCCACCAGACAUUGACAAUGACUGUCAUGUGCCCUCAUUUGGGGGCACUGUAUUUUUUGGCUUCCAUCUGAAGCACACUCUCAUUUGGAUUACCAAAUGUCAACUGUGGAAACAGCUCUGGAAAUUUCACGGACUUUUCUCUGUCCAGGGGAGAGCUAUCUGCCCCUUGGUCAGGUCACUGAUGGCUACUUAGGGUACAGUCAGGACCAUCCCUCUGCUUUCACCUCUUCUUUCCUUCCUGGGAAGACUGUCCUUAACUGGGGAGGCUAUAACCCUCCAGCUUCACAUGUUCAUUCCCCAAGUCCUGGUAUGCUCAUCUCACGCCCCAAAACAAACAGGCCACACUUUGUGUAAAAUAUUAAUAGAAAUUCAGGCCAGGUGGAGUGGCUCACACCUGUAAUCCCAGCACUUUGAGAGGCCGAGGCGGGUGGAUCACGAGGUCAGGUGUUCGAGACAAGCCUGACUAACAUGGUGAAACCCCGUCUCCACUAAAAAUACAAAAAUCAGCUGGGCGUAGUGGCGCAUGCCUGUAAUCCCAGCUACUCAGGAGGCUGAGGCAGGAGAAUCGCUUGAACCCAGGAGGCAAAGGUUGCAGUUAACUGAGAUCGUGCCACUGCACUCCAGCCUGGGCAACAGAAUGAGAGUCCAUCUCAAAAAUUAAAAAAAAAAAAAAAA